rnacentral:rRNA from 1 species
UGGGGAAUCUUGGACAAUGGGCGCAAGCCUGAUCCAGCCAUGCCGCGUGAGUGAAGAAGGCCCUAGGGUUGUAAAACUCUUUCAGCAGGGAAGAUAAUGACUGUACCUGCAGAAGAAGCCCCGGCUAACUCCGUGCCAGCAGCCGCGGUAAUACGGAGGGGGCUAGCGUUGUUCGGAAUUACUGGGCGUAAAGCGCGCGUAGGCGGCUUGACAAGUUGGGGGUGAAAUCCCGGGGCUCAACUCCGGAACUGCCUUCAAAACUGCCAAGCUAGAGUCCGUGAGAGGUGAGUGGAAUUCCCAGUGUAGAGGUGAAAUUCGUAGAUAUUGGGAAGAACACCAGUGGCGAAGGCGGCUCACUGGCACGGUACUGACGCUGAGGUGCGAAAGCGUGGGGAGCAAACAGGAUUAGAUACCCCCGUAGUCC